GUGUGUGUGUGUGUGUGUGUGUGUGUGUGUGUGUGGAAUAUGUGUCUGUAAGUGUACAGUGUGUGUGCUGGUGCAGGGGGUUCAGACUGGGGAUCAGAUGAGCACAAAACAAGAUAUGUAAUGCUCAAUGAUGAAUUGAUUAGAGAAAGAGGGGGUGUGUUUAACAGUAGAGAGUGUAGGAAAUGAUAGUAGUAGAUGGUAGUAGUAGACGAUAGUAGUAGGUGAUAGUAGCAGGUGACAGUAGUAGAUGAUAGUAGUCGGUGAUAGUAGUAGAUGAUAGUAGUAGAUGAUAGUAGUAGGUGAUAGUAGUAGGUGAUAGUAGCAGGUGAUAGUAGUAGAUGAUAGUAGUAGAUGAUAGUAGUCGGUGAUAGUAGUAGAUGAUAGUAGUAGAUGAUAGUAGUAGAUGAUGGCAGUAGAUGAUAGUAGUCGGUGAUAGUAGUAGAUGAUAGUAGUAGACGAUGGUAGUAGAUGAUAGUAGUAGACGAUAGUAGUAGGUGAUAGUAGUAGAUGAUAGUAGUGGGUGAUAGUUGUAAGUGAUAGUAGUAGAUGACAGUAGUAGGUGAUAGUAGUAGGUGUUAGUAGUAGAUGAUAGUUGUCGGUGAUAGUAGUAGAUGAUGGUAGUAGAUGAUAGUAGUAGGUGAUAGUAGUAGAUGAUAGUAGUAGAUGGUAGUAGUAUAUGAUAGCAGUAGGUGAUAGUAGUAGGUGAUAGUAGUAGAUGACAGUAGAAGAUUAUAUUAGUCGUGAUAGUAGUAGAUGAUAGUAGUAGACAAUAGUAGUAGGUGAUAGUAGUAGAUGAUAGUAGUAGGUGAUAGUUGUAAGUGAUAGUAGUAGAUAACAGUAGUAGGUGAUAGUAGUAGGUGAUAGUAGUAGGUGAUAGUUUUAGGUGAUAGUAGUAGGUGAUAGUAGUAGAUGAUAGUAGUCGGUGAUAGUAGUAGAUGAUAGUAGUAGACGAUGGUAGUAGAUGAUAGUAGUAGACGAUAGUAGUAGGUGAUAGUAGUAGAUGAUAGUAGUGGGUGAUAGUUGUAAGUGAUAGUAGUAGAUGACAGUAGUAGGUGAUAGUAGUAGGUGUUAGUAGUAGGUGAUAGUAGUAGAUGAUAGUAGUAGAUGAUAGUAGUAGACGAUAGUAGUAUGUGAUAGUAGUAGGUGAUAGUAGUAGAUGAUAGUAGUAGGUGAUAGUAGUAGGUGAGAGUAGUAGAUGAUAGUAGUAGACGAUAGUAGUAGAUGAUAGUAGUAGACGAUAGUAGUAGGUGAUAGUAGUAGGUGAUAGUAGUAGAUGAUAGUACUAGAUGAUAGUAGUAGAUGAUAGCAGUAGAUGAUAGUAGUAAGUGAUAGUAGUAGAUGAUAGUAGUAAGUGAUAGUAGUAGAUGAUAGUAGUGGGUGAUAGUAGUAGGUGAUAGUAGAAGAUGAUAGUAGUGGGUGAUAGUAGUAGAUGAUAGCAGUAGAUGAUAGUAGUAAGUGAUAGUAGUAGAUGAUAGUAGU
rnacentral:lncRNA from 1 species